AGAGUGCGUAACAGCUCACUAGUCGAGGAGUUUGGCGUGGAUAAUAAUCGGGCAUAAGUAUUCUACCGAAGCUUUGGGAUGAGAAAUCAUCGGUAGGGGAGCAUUCCACUCGGCGUCGAAGGUGAAGCGCGAGCUUUGCUGGAGCGUGUGGAAAAGCAAAUGUAGGUAUAAGUAACGAUAAAGGGGGUGGGAAACCCCCUCGCCGAAAGACUAAGGUUUCCUGAUCAACGCUAAUCGGAUCAGGGUAAGUCGGGUCCUAAGGCUCAGCCGAACGGCGAGGCCGAUGGCAGAACCGGUUAAUAUUCCGGUACUACCUGUGGGAGUGACGUGGAGACGGAGUCGUGACAGCGCCGCGGACUGACGGAAUAGUCCGUUGAAGGGUGUAGAUGCUGAUUGUUCCAGGCAAAUCCGGAGCAAGAGUCGAACCUGAUAGUAUGGAGCGUUCUUAGAACAAUCCAAUAGUGCGUGUAAUCAUACUUCCAAGAAAAUCCGCUAAACUUAAUCCUGCAGGUACCCGUACCGCAAACGGACACACGUAGUCGGGUUGAAUAUACUAAGGCGCUUGAGUGAUUCACGGUUAAGGAACUAGGCAAAUUGACCCUGUAACUUCGGGAUAAAGGGUCCCCACUGUGAGGUGGGGCGCAGAGAAUCGGUCCAGGCAACUGUUUAACAAAAACACAGGGCUGUGCAAAAUUGAAAGAUGAAGUAUACAGCCUGACACCUGCCCGGUGCUGGAAGGUUAAGAGGAGAUGUCAUCGCAAGAGAAGCAUUGAAUUGAAGCCCCAGUAAACGGCGGCCGUAACUAUAACGGUCCUAAGGUAGCGAAAUUCCUUGUCGGGUAAGUUCCGACCUGCACGAAUGGUGUAAUGAUCUGGACACUGUCUCAACCGUGAGCUCAGUGAAAUUGUAGUAUCGGUGAAGAUGCCGAUUACCCGCGAUGGGACGAAAAGACCCCGUGAACCUUUACUAUAGCUUAACAUUGAAUUUGGGUAAUUGAUGUGUAGGAUAGGCCGGAGGCUUUGAAGCAGGUACGCCAGUAUUUGUGGAGCCGCUGUUGAAAUACGGCCCUUUGGUUAUUUGAGUUCUAACUCGCUGUUGCGAGGACACUGUUUGGUGGGUAGUUUGACUGGGGUGGUCGCCUCCAAAAAUGUAACGGAGGCUUCUAAAGGUGCCCUCACGCCGAUUGGUAACCGGCGGCAGAGUGUAAUGGCAUAAGGGCGCUUGACUGGGAGACUUACAAGUCGAUCAGGUAGGAAACUAGAGCAUAGUGAUCCGGUGUUUCUGUAUGGAAAGGACAUCGCUCAAAGGAUAAAAGGUACUCCGGGGAUAACAGGCUGAUCCCUCCCA
rnacentral:rRNA from 1 species